ensembl:misc_RNA Y_RNA Y RNA
GGCUGGUCCAAGUACAGUGGUGUUUACAGCUAAUUGAUCACAACCACUUACGGAUUUCUUUGUUUCCUCUCCACUCCUAUUGCUUCACUUGACUAGCCUUAA